GGGGCGGUAGCUCAGUUGGUAGAGUGUCGCGUUCGCAAUGCGAAGGUCGGGAGUUCGAUCCUCCUCCGCUCCACCA
rnacentral:tRNA from 1 species